rnacentral:rRNA from 1 species
AGAGUUUGAUCCUGGCUCAGGACGAACGCUGGCGGCGUGCCUAAUACAUGCAAGUAGAACGCUGAAGAGAGGAGCUUGCUCUUCUUGGAUGAGUUGCGAACGGGUGAGUAACGCGUAGGUAACCUGCCUUGUAGCGGGGGAUAACUAUUGGAAACGAUAGCUAAUACCGCAUAACAAUGGAUGACACAUGUCAUUUAUUUGAAAGGGGCAAUUGCUCCACUACAAGAUGGACCUGCGUUGUAUUAGCUAGUAGGUGAGGUAACGGCUCACCUAGGCGACGAUACAUAGCCGACCUGAGAGGGUGAUCGGCCACACUGGGACUGAGACACGGCCCAGACUCCUACGGGAGGCAGCAGUAGGGAAUCUUCGGCAAUGGGGGCAACCCUGACCGAGCAACGCCGCGUGAGUGAAGAAGGUUUUCGGAUCGUAAAGCUCUGUUGUAAGAGAAGAACGUGUGUGAGAGUGGAAAGUUCACACAGUGACGGUAACUUACCAGAAAGGGACGGCUAACUACGUGCCAGCAGCCGCGGUAAUACGUAGGUCCCGAGCGUUGUCCGGAUUUAUUGGGCGUAAAGCGAGCGCAGGCGGUUUAAUAAGUCUGAAGUUAAAGGCAGUGGCUUAACCAUUGUUCGCUUUGGAAACUGUUAAACUUGAGUGCAGAAGGGGAGAGUGGAAUUCCAUGUGUAGCGGUGAAAUGCGUAGAUAUAUGGAGGAACACCGGUGGCGAAAGCGGCUCUCUGGUCUGUAACUGACGCUGAGGCUCGAAAGCGUGGGGAGCGAACAGGAUUAGAUACCCUGGUAGUCCACGCCGUAAACG